GCGGACGGGUGAGUAACACGUGGAUAACCUACCUAUAAGACUGGGAUAACUUCGGGAAACCGGGGCUAAUACCGGAUAAUAUUUUGAACCGCAUGGUUCAAAAGUGAAAGACGGUCUUGCUGUCACUUAUAGAUGGAUUCGCGCUGCAUUAGCUAGUUGGUAAGGUAACGGCUUACCAAGGCAACGAUGCAUAGCCGACCUGAGAGGGUGAUCGGCCACACUGGAACUGAGACACGGUCCAG
rnacentral:rRNA from 1 species